rnacentral:misc_RNA from 1 species
GGUGAAAGAGAAGCCAGUUUCACUUCAGAGGAAGAGCGUUGGAAAUGCCAGUUUUGUCAAUUUGCUUCAGAAUGCCCUACUAACACCAUUUCUGGAACAUCAAGCACUGUAAAGAGCAGUAGCCCUAAUAGUAGUCCAAGCUAGAGGCAAAUGAAAUGCUAACUUCAUUCUUUGACGUUUGAAUCAGCCUCCCCAACAAUUGUUGAGACCUUGAUAUGCAAGUUCCUGCAAGGAAGCUGCAUAUAUAUAUAUAUAUAUAUA